rnacentral:lncRNA from 1 species
CAAAGUCAAAAGGCUUUCAUGACCUCAUAUAAUAAAAUGUGUUCAAAGAGCAUCUGUUUUGCCAUACUCUGAUGCUCGAAUUAAACGACACAACCCAAUUCGGCCGUCGUCGCAAAGCAUGGAGUACACUUACUAUUCAAAUAUGCUCGAACCAUAACAUAAGAAUGCUGCACAGCUUCGACAAAAGGCUAAGACGGAUGACCUCUCGCAUCCGUAAUCUUCUUCGGCAGCGGUAAAUGCACCCCCGCGACACUCGGCUGCUCGCUCGCAUUCGGCAGCAACCUGCCUUUAUCAUCCGUCGGUGGCGGUGGGAUGUGCAUGAGAAGAUGACGGCGGCUUUCACUCCUUCCCAUCAGUUCACGUGGAUUCUGAAACAAUCCAACAAACACUUGAUGAGCCAUACGGGAAAGAAAGAAAAAAGAGAGAGAGAGAGAGAAAGAGAAAGCAAGAAAGAAGAUGCGGCGACCUCGCCACGAUUCCAAUCGGCCGCUGCAUUUAAUGAGCUACCGACUCUUCCACAUGCUUUUGGUCUGUUCAUCGAUCGCCGUCGACGUGCAGCUGAAGACGUGGCGGCGAUGAGGCCAUUGCUGAGGUAGCGGUCAAGAAAAUGAUGUCUUUCAAGAGAAAACAAAGGAGGGAAGGAGGGAGGGAGGGUGCAGACGUCGGCGAUGCCGGUGUACGCAAUAAGUGUGAUAUGAUAGAAAAUGAAACAAGAAAGCAUAUUGAGAUGGAUUCGAAUGCGUACUCUGUAAUAUAAUCGACAUAAAUAUUGAGAUCGAUCUCUAUGACGUAAGCCAGUAGCUAACAAGGAUGAAGGAGAGGUGUAUUCAAACAACAUGUACACUAAUCGAUCGUAUGUGUAUAUGUAUAUAACUCGAUCGAUUUUAUCUACUUAUAUAUCGUUUCUACUUGAUAUAACUUAAUCAUUAGCAAUCGGCUGAUAGCAGCAAUGCCUGCUGCUAUCAUUAUCACGAUCGAUCAAAUCAUACUGCACCAGCUAAAAAGGUUCUACAGAAAAAUACACCUUUCACGACACGCAUCACUUAUUGGUCGUCGAAGGAGAGAGGUAUGGCGUGCGGUGUCUUGUACAUGUCCAUGUCCUCAUUUCUCAAGACAGAAGAAACCCAUCUCCCAUCCCCCUUCGUUGUCUCGAGGAUAACACCAACCCCCACUAAUGUGGGAAACACCCCCACAGUCCAAACCCAUCGCUGCAGCAAGAUUGAUUGACAAAUCAUGAGAAGCAUACAAAUGAAGAAAUCACAGGAUCACCACCACAGUUUCUUGUCUGCAAGAUGCAGGUCUCUGCUGCUGCUGCUGCCGCUGAAGCGGAAGGAAAGGUGUGGGCUCUUCAUGUCUGUGGGGGCACCUCCUUCCUGGGGACACCUUCACCUGGGUUGGCCUUCGUCUGCUCCUCCUCCAUGCAGCAGCCUCCUU